rnacentral:rRNA from 1 species
UACGUAGGGGGCAAGCGUUGUCCGGAUUUAUUGGGCGUAAAGAGCGUGUAGGCGGCCAUACAGGUCCGUUGUGAAAACUGGAGGCUUAACCUCCAGACGUCGAUGGAAACCGUAUGGCUAGAGUCCGGAAGAGGAGAAUGGAAUUCCCGGUGUAGCGGUGAAAUGCGCAGAUAUCGGGAAGAACACCCGUGGCGAAGGCGGUUCUCUGGGACGGUACUGACGCUGAGACGCGAAAGCGUGGGGAGCAAACAGG